rnacentral:rRNA from 1 species
AACUUAUUGCUCCCUCUGGAGCUGCAUAUUUUAUGAUAGCUUCAUCCGUCUCCGUGACCGACGAUGCAUGAAUCCACAAGCGUCUGUACUUGCCUCUCCGGUCAGCACUAGCAGAAGUUCUAGUACAGAUGCUCGGAGGGAUUUCAUGCAUAUACGUUCGUUUGCCAGGAAGACCGAGAGCAACCAGAGAAAGUGUGCUGCUCGAGCUGCAACAAGUGCCUGCUGGGUGUCUAGCUGUCAGACCAUUGGUUAGCCGUCUCUCAGGCUCCCGAAAAUUUCGUUUUCGCUUUUGGGAAUUUCCCUUUUUACUUUGAGAAAAUUAGAGUGUUUCAAGCAGACUUUUGUCUUGAAUACUUCAGCAUGGAAUAAUAGAGUAGGACUUUGGUUCUAUUUUGUUGGUUAUUGAACCUUAGUAAUGGUUAAUAGGAACGGUUGGGGGCAUUCGUAUUUAAA